rnacentral:tRNA from 1 species
GCUGGUAUAGCUCAGUAGGUAGAGCGCUUCCUUGGUAAGGAAGAGGUUCCCGGGUUCGAAUCCCGGUAUCAGCU